AUAUUCUUUGUAAUUAAUUUCUAAAGUUUGUCCACAACUCCAUAAAGAUUGCUGGAGGAGGCGGGAUUUAUGACCUAUACUGCAGCCCGUCACCAGAGGGUGCUGUUCUCGCGGUAGCGUCACCCAUUGAGGAGGCAGACUGCAUCCAUUCUAGGUACAGUUUAUGAAUUCAACUCAAAAGUUUUUUAAGACUGGACCUUUUUAUUUUGUUUGGUUUUAAUUAUAUUGUCCUAUUUGAUAGAAGAUUGUACAUUUCAACAGUUUAAUCUGCAGAAAAAAAUUUGGCCUUUAUUAACAUUUUCAUGAUUUCACUGAGCUGAAUUAAAGCACCUUUAAUCUUUUUUUUUUAAGCUUUAUGAAAUGUGCUGAAAUUAAUAUUGAUACGUGAUCUCAGCUGUGUAAAUAGUAACACCUCUGUCUACACCUUUGAACCUUUUUCCUAAGGAGGAUAAGCAGACACACCAAUUAGUCUGAUUCAUGUUUCACCCCAAACAGACUGCUUUGAAUCAUCAAGAGGCCCGACACAUCUUUUUUAAGCUCUGCUCCUCACUUGGCAC